GACGAACGCUGGCGGCGUGCUUAACACAUGCAAGUCGAGCGGUAAGGCCCUUUCGGGGGUACACGAGCGGCGAACGGGUGAGUAACACGUGGGUGACCUGCCCUCAGCUCUGGGAUAAGCCUGGGAAACUGGGUCUAAUACUGGAUAUGACUCCACGGUGCAUGUCGUGGGGUGGAAGGCCUUGUGCGGCUGAGGAUGGGCCCGCGGCCUAUCAGCUUGUUGGUGGGGGUGANGGCCUACCAAGGCGACGACGGGUAGCCGGCCUGAGAGGGCGACCGGCCACACUGGGACUGAGACACGGCCCAGACUCCGUACGGGAGGCAGCAGUGGGGAAUCUUGCGCAAUGGGCGAAGGCCUGACGCAGCGACGCCGCGUGAGGGAUGACGG
rnacentral:rRNA from 1 species